AAGCAAGUAUACUUACCAUAUAAGAGCACAUUCGUAUACAGUGGAUGUUUAUGCUGCAUUGGUGGACAGUGGUGUUUGAUUGUCACCGGCUGCGAUGGUGGUUCUUGGUCACCGGCGGCGAUAAUGGUUGAGAGAGAAAGCCACCGAAGCUUUCCUUUAUAAGAGAACAAAUAAAUGGCCGGUUAGAAGCAACAUACCUAUAUAUCACUAAAAGAUUCUUUCAUGUUUCUUUAUGGGCAAACUUUUUUUUCUUCGCAUCAAUAGAAUCUGUCAUUUUAUAGAGGAUAAACAGCAUCGAGAUGAUGUUGCGCUCUGAUGAUGUUGAUGAAGACUGAGUUGCGGAAGAUGAAGAGAUGAGAGUAUAAGUCUUUUAUUUUCAUAAAAAGAAAAUAAUGUGUGUAUUUUGUGUUUGGUAACUAGCAGAAUAAAAGUUUAUUUGUAUGUGUGUUUAUGUUUUGUUAAAAUACUUGUGUUAAUUAUAUGGAAAAUGAUAAUGACAACUCUAA